rnacentral:lncRNA from 1 species
CAGCAGGGACUUUGUAUUUAAUUUUUAUUUAGUUCUUCUUUUUCUUUUUCUUGAGGAAGAAGAAAGUUUUGGAUAUUAAUGAAAAAUGAUGGGUUUUAUUUAUUUUUUUCUUUUUUUAAUUUAAAUUUUCGACGUGUAAUUUGAAGAUUUGCCUACAUAAUUUAGCAUUUUUCUUGUUCACCAAAAAAAUAGUAAAAUAAUUAUUGGAUGUUUUGUAUUUAUUAGGAAAGUAUUUGAUAAUUCACCAAUUAUUAAA